AUUCCCAAGGGAUCUCGUUAAAAUGCAAAUUCUGAUUCAGUAAUUCUAGGUGGUGUCUCAGACUUUGCAUUUCUAACAAGCUUCCCAGUGAUGCUGA
rnacentral:pre_miRNA from 1 species